rnacentral:misc_RNA from 1 species
UCUCCGUAGGUGAACCUGCGGAGGGAUCAUUACUGAGUGAGGGUUUAACCGCCCGACCUCCAACCCUUUGUGAACCAAACUUGUUGCUUCGGGGGCGACCCUGCCGACGACUUUGUCGCCGGGCGCCCCCGGAGGUCUUCUAAACACUGCAUCGUUGCGUCUGAGUCGAAAUAUAAAUCAAUCAAAACUUUCAACAACGGAUCUCUUGGUUCUGGCAUCGAUGAAGAACGCAGC